GCCAGCAGCCAUAUCACCUUGCAGCUCUCAACUGGCUACCCACUGAAGCUAGGCGGGGUUGAGCCUGGUCAGUACCUGGAUGGGAGACCCCCUCUAAGCUAUGGUUGCUGCUGGAA
rnacentral:rRNA from 1 species